UGGGGAAUAUUGGACAAUGGGCGAAAGCCUGGUCCAGCAAUGCCGCGUGAGUGAUGAAGGCCUUAGGGUUGUAAAGCUCUUUUACCAGGGAUGAUAAUGACAGUACCUGGAGAAUAAGCUCCGGCUAACUCCGUGCCAGCAGCCGCGGUAAUACGGAGGGAGCUAGCGUUGUUCGGAAUUACUGGGCGUAAAGCGCGCGUAGGCGGCGAUUCAAGUCAGAGGUGAAAGCCCGGGGCUCAACCCCGGAACUGCCUUUGAAACUAGAUUGCUAGAAUCUUGGAGAGGUCAGUGGAAUUCCGAGUGUAUAGGUGAAAUUCGUAGAUAUUCGGAAGAACACCAGUGGCGAAGGCGGCUCACUGGACGUGUAUUGACGCUGAGGUACGAAAGCGUGGGGAGCAAACAGGAUUAGAUACCCCUGUAGUCCCUGAGCGGGCUGGCAAGGCGCAU
rnacentral:rRNA from 1 species